rnacentral:rRNA from 1 species
UGGGGAAUAUUGCACAAUGGAGGGAACUCUGAUGCAGCGACGCCGCGUGAGUGAUGAAGGAAUUCGUUUCGUAAAACUCUGUUCUAUGGGAAGAAAAGGACUGUACCAUAAGAAAAAGCCCCGGCUAACUACGUGCCAGCAGCCGCGGUAAUACGUAGGGGGCUAGCGUUGUCCGGAAUCACUGGGCGUAAAGGGUUCGCAGGCGGAAAUGCAAGUCAGGUGUAAAAGGCAGUAGCUUAACUACUGUAAGCAUUUGAAACUGCAUAUCUUGAGAAGAGUAGAGGUAAGUGGAAUUUUUAGUGUAGCGGUGAAAUGCGUAGAUAUUAAAAAGAAUACCGGUGGCGAAGGCGACUUACUGGGCUCAUUCUGACGCUGAGGAACGAAAGCGUGGGUAGCAAACAGG